rnacentral:rRNA from 1 species
ACGAACGCUGGCGGCGUGCUUAACACAUGCAAGUCGAACGGAAAGGCCCUGUCUGUGUGGGGUGCUCGAGUGGCGAACGGGUGAGUAACACGUGAGUAACCUGCCCUUGACUUUGGGAUAACUUCAGGAAACUGGUGCUAAUACCGGAUAGGAGCUCCUGCCGCAUGGUGGGGGAUGGAAAGUUUCGGCGGUUGGGGAUGGACUCGCGGCGUAUCAGCUUGGUGGUGGGGUAGUGGCUUACUAAGGCAUUGACGGGUAGCCGGCCUGUGAGGGUGACCGGCCACAUUGGGACUGAGCUGCGGCACGGACUCCUACGGGACGCAGCAGUGGGGAAUAGUGCACAAUAGGCGGAAGGCUGACGCAGCGACGCCACGUGGGGGAUAGCGGCCUUCGGGUUGUAUACCGCUUUCGCCUGUGACGAGGCGUGAAUGACGGUAAUGUAUAAAGAAGCGACGGCUAACUACGUG